rnacentral:rRNA from 1 species
CAGCCGCCGCGGGAAUACGGAAGGAGCUAGCGUUGUUCGGAAUCACUGGGCGUAAAGCGCACGUAGGCGGCUAUUCAAGUCAGGGGUGAAAGCCCGGGGCUCAACCCCGGAACUGCCUUUGAAACUAGAUAGCUUGAAUCUUGGAGAGGCGAGUGGAAUUCCGAGUGUAGAGGUGAAAUUCGUAGAUAUUCGGAAGAACACCAGUGGCGAAGGCGACUCGCUGGACAAGUAUUGAUGCUGAGGUGCGAAAGCGUGGGGAGCAAACAGGAUUAGAUACCCCAGUAGUCCCUGUCUCUUAUAC